rnacentral:rRNA from 1 species
GAUGCAGCGACGCCGCGUGAGGGAUGACGGCCUUCGGGUUGUAAACCUCUUCUAGCAAGGACGAAGCGCAAGUGACGGUACCUGCAGAAGAAGCACCGGCCAACUACGUGCCAGCAGCCGCGGUAAUACGUAGGGUGCGAGCGUUGUCCGGAAUUACUGGGCGUAAAGAGCUCGUAGGCGGUUUGUCGCGUCGUCUGUGAAAUCCCGCAGCUCAACUGCGGGCUUGCAGGCGAUACGGGCAGACUCGAGUACUGCAGGGGAGACUGGAAUUCCUGGUGUAGCGGUGAAAUGCGCAGAUAUCAGGAGGAACACCGGUGGCGAAGGCGGGUCUCUGGGCAGUAACUGACGCUGAGGAGCGAAAGCGUGGGUAGCGAACAGGAUUAGAUACCCUGGUAGUCCACGCCGUAAACGGUGGGCGCUAGGUGUGGGUUUCCUUCCACGGGAUCCGUGCCGUAGCCAACGCAUUAAGCGCCCCGCCUGGGGAGUACGGCCGCAAGGCUAAAACUCAAAUGAAUUGACGGGG